rnacentral:rRNA from 1 species
GAUGAACGCUGGCGGCGUGCCUAAUACAUGCAAGUCGAGCGAACAGACGAGGAGCUUGCUCCUCUGACGUUAGCGGCGGACGGGUGAGUAACACGUGGAUAACCUACCUAUAAGACUGGGAUAACUUCGGGAAACCGGAGCUAAUACCGGAUAAUAUAUUGAACCGCAUGGUUCAAUAGUGAAAGACGGUUUUGCUGUCACUUAUAGAUGGAUCCGCGCCGCAUUAGCUAGUUGGUAAGGUAACGGCUUACCAAGGCAACGAUGCGCAGCCGACCUGAGAGGGUGAUCGGCCACACUGGAACUGAGACACGGUCCAGACUCCUACGGGAGGCAGCAGUAGGGAAUCUUCCGCAAUGGGCGAAAGCCUGACGGAGCAACGCCGCGUGAGUGAUGAAGGUCUUCGGAUCGUAAAACUCUGUUAUUAGGGAAGAGCAAAUGUGUAAGUAACUAUGCACGUCUUGACGGUACCUAAUCAGAAAGCCACGGCUAACUACGUG